rnacentral:snRNA from 14 species
GCAAGUCAGGACAAGCUGGUGGUGGCAUCUGUUGCUGUAUUGAUUGUCAGGGUUUGUUCAAAAGCUCUGGCCCACUGAAAGGGUGUCUCCUUUCUCCUCACCUAUCUACAUGUGUCCCCCUAAGGCUACAUCCCAGCUGAAGACACAGGAGGUCCCAAAUCGAAGAAGCAGAGCUCUUCAAUGCCAGGAUAUUACUAGCAGACUUUCCUGCCAUCGUAAUGGUUGCCUCAACUACACAAAGGUCCGUUUAGUGAGGGUAGGAGGGGCUUCAAUCUAGAAGGAGAAGAGUAUCAGAUAGUAAUGCAAUAAAGGGAGCAAACUGCUCCCUCCCCCCCUUUUUU